UUUGGUUAGGUAGUUGUGGUAAGUAAUAGUGAUACACGUCGAGGACACGUCCUAUUUCUAGACACACCACAGGACAUGUUUUGGGAUUUAUUAUAAUUUUGGAAAGGUGGUUUGGUAGAGUGAUGUAGUAAUUUGAAAACAAAUAGGUGGGAUAUGAAAAAAGAAAAAGAAAAGAAGAGAAUGAUCAUAAGGCUGGGCAUUUCAUCAUGUUCACUUCUUGUGUCUUUAAUCUGACCCCUGUUUAGUUCGUACUUAUUUUCCCCCCUCAUAUAUGCUUGUUCAUACUUAGUUCUUGGGACGUAAAAUCAGGGUGUUUUUUUCAUGUUAAAGUAGUGUUAUCAGUGUUUGUGUUCGUGCCCGUGCUUUUUAGUCAAUGUGGUUAUCUCAUAAACGAAUGCUUAUCAUUUCAUUUUCAUGCAUUUGAAUUGUUCCGGUCGAGAGAGUACACAACAACAGCAACAUGUAGACCAGAACAAUGCUUCCAUGAAAUUGAUCAAUAGUGUGACUGGCACUGAUGAGGAGGGUCAGUCUCGGCAACAGAUUCUUACAUUUGCUUCCAGGAGGUAUGUUAGACGAAUUGUUUGUGAAGGAGGACUCAUUGUAGAUCCAGAUCAGGGGGAGUUUCUCUGCCCUGUGGGAACCAUGGACUUGCAAAUUCAGCAUUGCCUGCAUUACCUGGAGAUUCUUAAAAGGUUUCUAGACCAGCAAUGGUUUCAACUAUCAGUUGGCCAUAUGCUACAGGCCAAUUAUCCUCUGCAAACAGGGAAACUGAUUUCCUUUGCUUUCGGGAAGCCUGGUCUCUUUUACAUAGUGCUGCUGAUGUUGCUGGGAGGAGUGAAAUCCUAAAAGCUUUUCCAAUGCAUCGAACUGGAAGGAUAAGACCAAAUCCUGAAUCCAUGUUUCGUGUACUAUCUGGAAUGUAUUUUCCAGGCAAACAGGAUAGGAUUUCAGGAUCUGCAAGGGAUCUACUGCUGGUCUGUUGCUGCUGCUGCCGGUGUGCUGCUGCAGAAUUUUGCUGGGCUGCUGCUGCUGCUGCAAUGUUGCUGUGAAGCGGGCUGCUGCUAGAUGCUGGUCUGCUGCAAAUUUGGGUUGUUAUUAGCCCUAUGAAUUCAAUACAUA